rnacentral:rRNA from 1 species
UGGGGAAUAUUGCACAAUGGGGGAAACCCUGAUGCAGCGACGCCGCGUGAAGGAAGAAGUAUUUCGGUAUGUAAACUUCUAUCAGCAGGGAAGAAAAUGACGGUACCUGAGUAAGAAGCACCGGCUAAAUACGUGCC